AAUGAACGUUGGCGGCGUGGAUUAGGCAUGCAAGUCGUACGGGUCGGUGUAGCAAUACAACGGCAAGUGGCGAAAGGGAGAGUAACACGUAGAUACCUACCCUCUGGUCGGGGAUACCGCGGCAUAACCGCAAGUAAUACCCGAUAAAAUCUCCGGAUCAAAGGUGUGAUUCCGCCGGAGGAGGGGUCUGCGUUCUAUCAGCUUGUUGGUGAGGUAAUGGCUCACCAAGGCUAAGACGGAUACGGGGUGUGAGAGCAUGCCCCCGCUCACUGGGACUGAGACACUGCCCAGACACCUACGGGUGGCUGCAGUCGAGAAUCUUCGGAAAUGGGCGCAAGCCUGACCGAGCGACGCCGCGUGCGGGAUGAAGGCCUUCGGGUUGUAAACCGCUGUCGAGGGGAAUGAAGUGUAGGUGGGUACUCCCAUCUAUUUGACAGAUCCCUGGAGGAAGCAUGGGCUAAGUUCGUGCCAGCAGCCGCGGUAACAC
rnacentral:rRNA from 1 species